rnacentral:rRNA from 1 species
AUUGAACGCUGGCGGCACGCCUAACACAUGCAAGUCGAGCGGCAGCGAGACUAGUAGCAAUACUAGUUGUCGGCGAGCGGCGGACGGGUGAGGAACACGUAGGAACUUGCCCUUUAGAGGGGGAUAACCAAGGGAAACUUUGGCUAAUACCGCGUAAACUCGAAAGAGGAAAGCUGCCCGCAAGGGGGGCGCUAAAGGAGAGGCCUGCGUCUGAUUAGCUAGUUGGUGAGGUAAUGGCUUACCAAGGCGAUGAUCGGUAACUGGUCGGAGAGGACGACCAGUCACACUGGGACUGAGACACGGCCCAGACUCCUACGGGAGGCAGCAGUGGGGAAUAUUGGACAAUGGGGGCAACCCUGAUCCAGCGAUGCCGCGUGGGUGAAGAAGGCCUUCGGGUUGUAAAGCCCUUUAGGUUGGGAAGAAGUGAAUUGUAGGAUAAUGACAGUUCAUUGACGGUACCGACAGAAUAAGCACCGGCAAACUCUGUGCCAGCCGCCGCCGUAA